rnacentral:snoRNA from 1 species
GCUGCCCCUCGAGGCAUUGCAGGUAUGGCUGCUGUGUCACAUCUGCGUCAUUAGGCAGCAGAGAAUUUUGAGGCUAUGUCUACGCUCAGUGUUCCGACCCAUGAACGCCUGAAUGAUUAGUAGCGUGACACA